GAUGGAUUCUCGUCUCACCAAGUUUGUGCAGGAAAAGAACACAACCACAUCAGUGCAAGAUGAGUUCAUGCACUUGCUAUUAUGGGGGAAAGCAAGUGCUGAACUUCAGACUCUCUUGAUGAAUCAGUUAACAGUAAAGGGCUUGAAAAAGCUUGGCCAGUCUAUAGAGUCAUCAUACUCCAGUAUACAAAAAUUGGUCAUAAGUCACUUACAGAGGUAUGAAGGUGACGUAGAAUUUUUUGGUGUUGUAUCCACACAUACCUGGCAUUGGCCUUCUUUCUGCCGCCUUCUCUUCAUCUGGCAUUCUCUUUUUAAGGCUUUUCUAGCUAAAAUUGUUGCAUGGCAUUUGAGAAGAAUCUUUCUAUACCCAAGAUUGAAAGAGUCAAUAAUAAUUCUGCUUUAUGAAGUAAUUUUCCAACAUCUUUUCACCAGGCUAGACUCUAUCUGGGGUUUUUUCUUAAUCAGCUAAGCAUGAAGUAUAUUUUGAAAUAAGGCAUAUAUCCCUUUUUUGAGCAGUGAGAUUAACAUUUUACAGUUUACCAAGAAUAUUGCAUAUUUAUUUAAUAUCUUGGCAAGGUGUUGGUGAUUUUACACAAGAGGAUACAGAAGUUCAGAAUCGGUUAUAUGGCUGGCCCAAAGUUACUAAGUGUUGGAGCCAAGACUUCAUCCUAGAUUUUCAAAUCUCAUGCUUUUUCUAUCCGUAGCUACUUCAUUGAAGCAGUUUACA
rnacentral:sRNA from 1 species